rnacentral:tRNA from 1 species
GGCCUUCUGGUGGACGACGCCAUUGUGGUGGUUGAAAACGUUGAACGUGUCAUGGCCGAAGAAGGUUUAUCUCCUUUGGAGGCCA